AAGUCGUAACAAGGUUUCCGUGAGUGAACCUGCGGAAGGAUCAUUAACACGUAUCCAAACGUUAAAACCCCCCCCGUGAACCUUCAUCCUGCUCUUGUAACCCGCGUAGUUCGCAAUCUCUGAUAAAUCAUAGCGGCUACGUGCGAACAUUGGAACAGUUACAAUCGAGCGGUAGUUCUAUAGGCAAUGUUUCCCCAGGCAGUCAGUGUCGGAAAGUGUCAUUGAUUGUGCAAGGAUAGCGCUUCUACGAUUCCUGUAGACUGUACACCCAAACAGGAGCUUUGCCAAAGGGUCCCCAUGCCCCCUAAUAACCACACAGUUUAAUGUGAAGCUCAAUGUAAUACAUUGGGAAAAAAAACCGAACAACUGUUAACAAUGGAUAUCUUGGUUCUC
rnacentral:misc_RNA from 1 species